rnacentral:lncRNA from 7 species
GGAAUUAAGAAGUCUCUUUCUGUUCUUGCAUUUGGCUCAUGGUGAAACAGAUAACUGAGAACUCUUGAGGCAUACCUUGACCUUUAGCCUCUGUGCAUUUUUUCCUCAUAGAUGGCCUUGCUCCUUGAUCUUAAAGAACCUGGGUUUCCCUGGGAAGUUUAUCACAGAAAGACAAGGAAAUGGAAGAUUCUUCUGUUACAGCAAACCAUGGGAGAGCUGGAAAUACAGCUAUGUGUCAUGUUGAGUGUACAGGCUGGCCAAAUCUGAAGUGCUUGUUCUGAGGCCAAAUCCAGGUGCUUGUUGUUUGUUGGAAGGCUGCUGCAUCUCUUGUGUCUUCGGAGGAACUGCCUCAGGGAGCAGCAGACUACUCGAACCUUAGCUCCUGCUUCCCCUGACUUGUGUGAGCCAACACUUUAUGAGCUUACUUGAUUCCUCCAUAGCUGUUGCAUUGCAUGGCUCUGAAGUUGCUGUCCAUCUGCAAGGUUUAAAGCAAAAUUCUUGACUGUAUCUGUUGUUGACAAUGGAAAAAGCAGAUUUGUUCUGUCUUUCUAUUUCUUGGGGGGAGGGGGUGAAGAGGGUAAGACUAUAUUUGAUAUAUGAAAACAUUUUUCAAAAUGAUUACAUCAAACCCUCUGUAAUUUGAUUUGUUGGGUGGGAGGAGGGGAGAUGGAGCAAAAAAAAUGUAUUCUAGAAUGUUUUUCAAUAUUGCAACAUCUAAGACUUCAGACCAACAAACACUUACACAUGUGCUUAGCUUCAAGUCAGAGUUAGACCCAAGGGGCCUACAUUUGUAUUUGAUUAAUGACAAUUAUUUGAAGAGAGUUGGACUGGGUGGAAUCAACUGGAAAAAAUAUGUAGCUAUAAAAAUGUAUGCUUUCUGUAACAUAUCUUUAUACUAUUUCAGUUCUGUUAUAUUCUUUUAUCUUGCAUAUUUGGCACACAGCUUUAGAUUUCUAACAUAAGGAAAAGGUUGCAUUGUCGAAUUCUGUUUAGGUUUAAUCAAAAGUGUGCAACUAUGUCCCCAUUUGCUAACAUGAGCCCACGAAAAAUGCUGUUAACACCAGGAAACAUGCAGUCAGAACUGGAACCUUAAUUUAAAUGAGCUCUAGGGGCUGAUCUCCCUUCCCUCCUUUGGUGGCUCUGGUGAGUUCAGUAGCUCUGUUUGUAUGAUUACAAGAUUGACCUUACAGGAUCACUUCAUUAAUAAUCUCCUUAAACUUCUUAUGUUUUACACCUUGUCUGUACACAAAGCUGUCUGUUUGCAGCUAGGUGUUUGGGAGCAAGGACAGGCAGAGCUUUUGCACGUAAGAGCUUGUCAGAAGAACCUCUCAUUACAGCAAGAAGCAUUUUUAAUAAUGUGAGAAGUAGUAGAGUGCUGGUACAGACCCUGGUAUGAGAGGGUUACCAGAUCACCUCCAAGCUCCCCUCAGCUGUCAGUGAUUCCUUUGUAAUGAUUGAGGAGAAACAGCCCAUGAUUCAUCUCAGCCUUCAGGUAGGGGUAGGAUUCAGGUCCAGACCGAUGGCUGAGUAUAGGACGUGUCUGAAUGUGUGCCAGGCUGCUAAGUGACUGGUGUGGUCAGUGGAGAUGUUCUUUGCUUUGAAAGGAGAUGAGAAGGCAGUUCAGCCCACCAUGUGUAUUUGUGAAUGUGAAGUGAAUUAAAUUGCUCUCUGGUCU